rnacentral:rRNA from 1 species
GGAGGAAAAGAAACCACCAGGGAUUGCCCCAGUAACGGCGAGUGAAGCGGCAACAGCUCAAAUUUGAAAUCUGGCCCCCCGGGGCCCGAGUUGUAAUUUGCAGAGGAUGCUUUUGGCGAGGCGCCUUCCGAGUUCCCUGGAACGGGACGCCACAGAGGGUGAGAGCCCCGUCUGGUUGGAUGCCGAGCCUCUGUAAAGCUCCUUCGACGAGUCGAGUAGUUUGGGAAUGCUGCUCUAAAUGGGAGGUAUAUGUCUUCUAAAGCUAAAUAUUGGCCAGAGACCGAUAGCGCACAAGUAGAGUGAUCGAAAGAUGAAAAGCACUUUGAAAAGAGGGUUAAAUAGUACGUGAAAUUGUUGAAAGGGAAGCGCUCAUGACCAGACUUGGGCCCGGUGAAUCAUCCAGCGUUCUCGCUGGUGCACUUUGCCGGGCUCAGGCCAGCAUCAGUUCGCCCCGGGGGAGAAAGGCUCUGGGAAUGUGGCUCCUCCGGGAGUGUUAUAGCCCUCUGCGCAAUGCCCUGGGGCGGACUGAGGUCCGCGCAUCUGCAAG